GCGCCCGUAGCUCAGGUGGAAGAGCGCUUCCGUCCUAAGGAAGGCGUCGGGGGUUCGAGUCCUCCCGGGCGCACCC
rnacentral:tRNA from 2 species